rnacentral:rRNA from 1 species
GUACUUUGUGCGUGUUGUGUGCAUUUAUUGGAUAAAACCAGAUGCUGCUCUACUUAACUUUGGUUGGGUGGAGUAGGUAAGGUGAUUCUAGAUAACUGAGCAGAUCGCAUGACUUAAGGUCGGCGACAUUUCGAUUGAAUUUCUGCCCUAUCAACUUGAUGGUAAGGUAGUGGCUUACCAUGGUUGCAACGGGUAACGGGGGAUCAGGGUUCGAUUCCGGAGAGGGAGCCUGAGAAACGGCUACCACAUCCAAGGAAGGCAGCAGGCGCGAAAAUUACCCAAUCCAGACGAUGGGAGGUGGUGACCAGAAGUACUAGGUGGUAUAUAUUAUAUACCGACCUUGGAAUGAGCUUAAAGUAAAAAGUUAGUCGAGUAACUACUGGAGGGCAAGUCUGGUGCCAGCAGCCGCGGUAAUUCCAGCUCCAGUAGCAUGUCGUAAAGUUGUUGCGUUUAAAACGCUCGUAGUUGGAUAAUUGAAUGUAUGCUAGUUGAUUUACUGUUUUGACUUUUACAUUUGUUGUGUAGCAUUAUGCUGUGUGAUGGGUGUGGGUCUAAAGAUGGUGGAUUUUAGGCUAGUUUGCAUUUGUUACGUGUAAGGAUGGUGAUUGACCUUGAGUGAGUUGAUCGCUAUAUCUUGCAGAGUGUGCCUUGAAUAAAUCAGAGUGCUUAAAGCAGGUGAAUUGCCUGAAUGAUACAGCAUGGAACGAACAAUAGUGUAGGUAUACAUGGAGAAUCAAUUUUGAUGUCACUGUGUAUACAUCACCAACCACCUGUAUGGAUGUUGGUUUCCGUUGCAGGGGUGAUGAUUAAAACGAGCGAUUGGGGGCAUUGGUAUUUGGCAGCGAGAGGUGAAAUUCUUAGACCGGCCAAGGACUAACAAAAGCGAAGGCAUUUGCCAAGAUCGUCUCGAUUGAUCAAGAACGAAAGGGAAAGGUUCGACGGAGAUUAGAGACCUCUUUAGUUUUCCCUGUAAACUAUGCCGACCCGGGAUCAGUUUUAAGCUAGUAACUACGCUUGAGGUUGGUCCCCCUGGGAAACCUAAAGUUUUUGGGUUACGGGGGGAGUAUGGUCGCAAGGCUGAAACUUAAAGGAAUUGACGGAAGGGCACCACCAGGGGUGGAGCCUGCGGCUUAAUUUGACUCAACACGGGAAAACUUACCAGAUCAGGAUGCCGGGAUGAUAAACAGACUGUAGAUCUUUUUUGAUUCGGUAACAAGUGGUGCAUGGCCGUUCUUAGUUCGUGGAGUGAUUUGUCGGGUCUAUUCCGAUAACGGACGAGACCUAAGCGUCCGUUUACAGUGUGAUGUGUACGUAUUUUUUGUACGUACAAUUAACAAAUGUAUGUAAUUGUGUGGAAUAGGUGAAAAAAAGCGGGUAAAACUGUUUUUUGAAUCUAUUUUUCAUUUUGAUGUACAUAUUUGUUGAAUCAUUACAAUGUCCUAUGCUGUAAAAGGUGUAGGAUUGCACGGACGGACAACUUYRUKUAUUGUAAAAUCAGAGGAAGUUAGGCUAUAACAGGUCUGUGAUGCCCUUAGACGUUCUGGGCUGCACGCGCGCUACAAUGAUAACAGCAACGAGUGAUCUUGUCCGAGAGGACUAGGGAAUCUUGAAAUUGUUAUCGUGAUGGGGAUUGUUGGUUGUAAAUCUGACAUGAAAUAGGAAUCCCUUGUACGUGCACUUCAUCUAAAGUGCGCGGAAUGAGUCCCUGCCCUUUGUACACACCGCCCGUCGCUACUACCGAGUGAAUCGUGUCAUGAUGC